rnacentral:rRNA from 1 species
GCUAACUACGUGCCAGCAGCCGCGGUGAUACGUAGGGUGCGAGCGUUGUCCGGAUUUAUUGGGCGUAAAGGGCUCGUAGGUGGUUGAUCGCGUCGGAAGUGUAAUCUUGGGGCUUAACCCUGAGCGUGCUUUCGAUACGGGUUGACUUGAGGAAGGUAGGGGAGAAUGGAAUUCCUGGUGGAGCGGUGGAAUGCGCAGAUAUCAGGAGGAACACCAGUGGCGAAGGCGGUUCUCUGGGCCUUUCCUGACGCUGAGGAGCGAAAGCGUGGGGAGCGAACAGGAUUAGAUACCCUGGUAGUC